rnacentral:rRNA from 1 species
UACGUAGGGGGCUAGCGUUGUUCGGAAUUACUGGGCGUAAAGCGCACGUAGGCGGUUUUGUAAGUCAGGGGUGAAAUCCCGGGGCUCAACCUCGGAACUGCCUUUGAUACUGCAAGUCUCGAGUCCGAUAGAGGUGAGUGGAAUUCCUAGUGUAGAGGUGAAAUUCGUAGAUAUCAAGUGGAACACCGGUGGCGAAGGCGGCCUUCUGGACAGUGACUGACGCUGAGACGCGAAAGCGUGGGGAGCAAACAGG